rnacentral:rRNA from 1 species
AGGUAGGGAUACCCGCUGAACUUAAGCAUAUCAAUAAGCGGAGGAAAAGAAACCAACAGGGAUUGCCUUAGUAACGGCGAGUGAAGCGGCAAAAGCUCAGAUUUGAAAUCUGGUGUCAAAUUGAUACCCGAGUUGUAAUCUGUAGAGGAGUUUUUCGGAGUAUGGCUUUGGUUAAAGUUCCUUGGAAAAGGGCAUCAUAGAGGGUGAGAAUCCUGUUUAUGACCUGUGUCUGUCUCCAUUAUGAAUCUCCUUCAAUGAGUCGAGUUGUUUGGGAAUGCAGCUCUAAAUGGGUGGUAAAUUCCAUCUAAAGCUAAAUAUUGGCAAGAGACCGAUAGCGCACAAGUAGAGUGAUCGAAAGAUGAAAAGAACUCUGAACAGAGAGUUAAAGAGUACGUGAAAUUGUUGAAAGGGAAGCACUUGUGACCAGACAAAUUUACAGUUAAUCAGCCAUCAAUUUUUGGUGGUGCACUUAAUUGUAGGUGGGUCAGCAUCAGUUAUAGUAGUGGAACAAAGAUCAAAGGAAUGUAGCUCCUCUUUGAGGAGUGUUAUAGCCUUUGGUUCAAUACCGCUGGCCAUGACUGAGGAUAGCACUUCCAGUAAGGAUGCUGACAUAAUGGUCAUAAGUGACCCGUCUUGAAACACGGACCAAGGAGUCUAACAUCUAUGCGAGUGUUUGGGUUCAAGCCCUUAUGCAAAAUGAAAGUGAAUGGAGGUGGAAACCAUUCGGUGCACCAUCGACCGAUCCUGAAGUUUUCUGAUGGAUUUGAGUAGGAGCAUAGCUGUUGGGACCCGAAAGAUGGUGAACUAUGCCUGAAUAGGGUGAAGCCAGAGGAAACUCUGGUGGAGGCU